AUGACACAGGAACAAGUGUGGCGGGCACCAGGGGCAAAAGCGACGUGGCAGGGCUGACCAGACUUUGAAGAUCUCUAGUUCCCCGGACUUCCCACCCUACACCCCACUUACUGCCCUUAAGCACCCUCCUCGGCCCCACUUUGAAAGGUUGGCCAAUUCCAGGGCUGGAGUCACCUUUAAGUGCAAGGGGGCCUCCCGAAUACGCAGCUGCGACUUAGGGGAUCCGUCGUUACUGGAAACGAAGGCCUCUCGCGUAGCCUGCUUCAGCCCGUCCAACUCCGGGCUGCCCAGGCGCCAUCCCCUUGGGUCCGGGACCAGGACCCUGCAGCAAACGGCCGCAGAGAUAUAAAUGAGUAAGAUGCAAUUCUGAUAUCCUUGUCAAAACUGAAAUCCAGAGAGAGGAGUCAGAUGAUUAUUCAAGCAGCUCUGAUACUUGGCAGAGGAAGGCAGAGAUCACAGCAGAUGCUGUUUCGACAUUCUGGUGCCAUGUGUUUUAGCGCACGUGUGCAUAUCUUUCCAUGCCUGCGAAUGGAAUGAAUUCACUAUCCUUUCUUCUGCUCGAGUACCUCCACUUACAGUUCCAGAAUUGGAACCUGGUACCUCAUUGCCUGCUAGGUAAAGCUCUACCACUGAGCUACAACCCCAGCCCCUGCUGUUGACUUUUAAGGAGAGAAUUUCCAUGCUGGAGGGAAGAGCACAAGGCAGGGAAUGCCAGGUGAUGUCUGGGAACUGAGGCCACCUUCCUGGUGACAGCCAGCAAGAAAGCAGGGACCUCGGUCUUAAAACCCUAAGGAGUUGAGUUCUGUCAACCACCGUGUAAAGAAGAGAGGACUUUGAACCUCAGAUGUGAUGGAAGACCUGGUGAGACCUGAGACGGGAACUCGGCUGUUCCAUGCCCAGCCUUCUGAUCUAUACAACUGUGACUGAAUAAAUGAGCACCACUUGCAGCUGCUGAGCUUCUGAGGAUCUGUUGUGCACCAGCAGAAAACUAAUAGAAAGUUAGUGCAUGAAGUUUAUCAUCGAAUUGUUCCCUUCUGUUGGUGAUGGUUUAGUUAGCUUUCGCUUCAAAACAAAUCGCCACCAAUUCAACCUCUUAAACUAGCACAUACUUAACAGUUUCUGCGGGUCAGGAUUCUGGGCAUUGAUUUCAUGAGCUCUCUGAUUCAAGGUUGCUUACAUGUCUGCAAACAAGAUUAUCAGACAGGACUUCCAGCAAGGAAGGUCAACAUGGGAAGGUCCACUUCCAACUUCACUUGAUGUUGUGGUUUGCAGGAUUCACUUUGUUUUGGUACUGUGGGUGAACCCAAGGGCA